rnacentral:lncRNA from 1 species
CUGUGUUGUCUAGUCGUUCUUGUUUCUUUUCUUCUUUUUGUUUUUCUUGUUUAUCAUUUGUUUGGUUUUGGUUGCUCUAGGAGCUGAGGCCCCAGUGACAACAGAUCCAGGGACUGUCCUCAAAGAGCCCACGGGCUGGUGUUCCAGGGCCAGGCAGAGCCCGCCUUCCUUGAUAAGGGAGUCAGAGCGGAAUUUCCCAAUCAGAAAUCAGGGACAGAAGGAAAAGGAGAGCAGGACACAUGGGUGAGUUUUCUUGGAUUAGUGGUUUUUCCUUCAAUAAUCUGUUUAUUGUCUUGGGGGAAGGAGGUUGCAUGAGCUUGUGUGCCGGGUACUGUGCUGAGAUCC